UACGUAGGGUGCUAGCGUUGUUCGGAAUCAUUGGGCGUAAAGCGCGUGUAGGCGGUUAGAUAAGUCUGGUGUGAAAGCCCUCGGCUCAACCGAGGAAGUGCAUCAGAAACUAUUUAACUAGAAGACGGUAGAGGAAGGUGGAAUUCCAAGUGUAGAGGUGAAAUUCGUAGAUAUUUGGAGGAAUACCGGUGGCGAAGGCGGCCUUCUGGGCCGAUCUUGACGCUGAGACGCGAAAGCGUGGGGAGCAAACAGG
rnacentral:rRNA from 1 species